rnacentral:misc_RNA from 1 species
UUUUUUUUCUGUUAUUUGAGUCAUGCGCAUGAUGUAACACCCCUAUACUAAGCAGUCUAUACAUUCUACUGUUCCGGUGACUAGUGUCUGUCCAGACGGCUAGAAUGUUUGGGACUAUACUUAAUUCACAUAGAAGAGCCAUAAAUAAAAUUGAUAAAGAUCAAAUGAAGUUGGAUGAAAAUAAUAAAAAUGAAGUACAAAUCAGUUAAAUGAGCCGAAGGUCCCGGCAAUUGGUGACCGACCCGGGAAGUGACUGCGAGCUCAGUUGAUAUCCUAAAUUCGUGUGGGACCCCAUGAGAUUCUUAGUUAAGGGAUAAUUGUGAAACUAUGGGGAACUAGAAAAUCAUGGAAAUAAAAAGGGAACAAGCACAAAUAAGUGAAUCAGAACUUAGGGACUCAUUGGGCAUUAUUAAAAAAUGGACUAUAACCCGAUGAGGUGCAUUUUGGUCAAUUCACUCCUAGAGGUGACUUUUGACUUAAAUGUCCAUUAAAUUGUGUGAGAUUAAAAUAUUGAAAAAGGAAUUAAAAAUGAAAAAGUGUAGGAAAAGAAAAGAAAAAGAUAUGAAAAUUUCUAAUUUUAAUUUCAUUAUGACAUCACCAUGACCUAAGCAUGACACACUCUAAAAAUUAUAACUUUAAAUUACUAAAUUUUGGGGAUAAAUAUUGAUAUAAAGAGACAAAAAUUAAUUAAAGUAAAAACAAUUUCAUUUUCUUCUUCCUAAGGCAGUUGGCCACACUUUGUCCUCUCUCUCUCCUCCAUUAACAACUCAAUUUAAGCUUUGAUUUCCUACCUUCUUUCCAUAAAAUUUCCCCCAAAUUUAGUAGAAACCUUUUAAUUAAGCUUCAAAGUGAAAAUUAGGAGAAGAAGAAACAAGAAAAAGUGAAGGAAAUUGAAGAUUGAAAAGCUCAACUAGAGGUAAGUUAUCUCUCUAGUUUAAUUAAUUGUGUAGGCAUGGAAUUGAGUUUGAAUAUGGGGAGAUUUCAUGAAGGAGCAUGAAAAUCAUGCAUGUAAGGGGG